UAGUAUACACUAUUGUAGUUGGAUCUCAGUUCCAGACGAGUAGUGCAUCUAGCCGAUGCGACGGCUCGGACU
rnacentral:lncRNA from 1 species